UACGUAGGGGGCAAGCGUUGUCCGGAUUUAUUGGGCGUAAAGAGCGUGUAGGCGGCUUUACAGGUCCGUUGUGAAAACUCGAGGCUCAACCUCGAGACGCCGGUGGAAACCGUAAAGCUAGAGUCCGGAAGAGGAGAGUGGAAUUCCUGGUGUAGCGGUGAAAUGCGCAGAUAUCAGGAGGAACACCCGUGGCGAAAGCGGCUCUCUGGGACGGUACUGACGCUGAGACGCGAAAGCGUGGGGGAGCAAACAGG
rnacentral:rRNA from 1 species